AAUUGGGAGUUGGGGAUUGACAUGUACACACUGCUGUGUGUGGAAUGGAUAACUAAUGAGGACCUACUGUAGAGCACAGGGAAAUCUACUCAGUGAUUUGUGAUAACCUAUAUGGGAAAAGAAUCUGAAGGGAAAAAUACAUAUGUGUGGCUGAUUCACUUUGCUGGUUUGAUUAUCUACAGUUUCCCAAUAGUAAAUCCUCCUGCCUGUUUCCUUCUCGCUUCUUUUAUCUUCUUUCUUCCCACCACAUUCAUUUAUCUUUUAAAAGAUUUUAAAAAAACUAUUUUUUUCUGUAGGUUUCUCAUAUGUAAAAUAAAUAAUAGUUUUCCUUCAAAAAUUUUUAAAGUUUGGCUUUGAUAUGUGUUUAAGUGGAAGCAUAAUCUAUAUUUUGAAAUAAGCAUUUGGUUCUUUUGAAUAAUCCCUUCUGUCAAAUGGAAGUUCUUUCUGCACUGUGUCAGAUAAUUAGAUCAUCAUGAUUUGACUCUUUAGUAACUCCUCAGAUACUUGUUUUUCUAACAUGCAUCUCAGGAUGCUCACAUUAACUGUUCCUUCUUUGUUGAUGACUGUGGAGUGACAACCUGAACAUUUUAUAGCAUGUAUGUACUUAUUUUACUAUUCUAUACCUCUCUAAGGAAAAGGCAUGCUGAUACUUAACAUAUGAGAAAAUGGAGUCUGAGGACCUUGCCUAAAGUCUGUGAAAUGAUGGUACUGUGAGAGUCUAGCCCAAACCUCUUGUGCAUUAUUCUUGUUAGUCAGCAGGCUCUUUGUGCCCAAACCACUACCAGCAAUGCCAGAUGUGUUCACAGCAGCUGUGAAGGAUAAGAAGGGAGAGAAUCAAUGCAGGAGCUUGACGUUGUCAAGAUGCUAUGAGAGGCAGCGGCUGUAGAUGGCUUGUUCCUGCCUAAAAAGCCAUUCACAAAUACAGAAACUCAUCCCUUCCCACAUGAGAAAGAACUUAAAAAUAUGCAGUCAUAGGUUUUUCAGGAAUGGUAAAUUUCAGGAAUGAGGAGUAAACAUUCAAAAAUUUUUAUUUUAAAGUUAUGGGAAAGAAGCUUUAUGACAUAUUAUUUACUUAUUUAUUUUCCUAAGAGUAAUAAAACAUGGUGCUGUUGAGUUACAGAUAGGACCGUGCAAAGACCUUUAGGUAGUAGGUGUUGUGGUCUUGAUUUGAUAUUGUUUAUAUAUUCAAUAUAUUUUACACAUGGGAGCUGCCUUUUUUUUUUUUUUUUUUUUUUCUUUUUUCUUUCCUUUUUUUUAGGGCUGCACCUGUGGCAUAUGGAAGUUCCUAGGCUAGGGAUAGAAUCAGAGCUGUACCUCCCAGCCUACGCCACAGCCACAAUAAUGUGGGAUCCGAGCCUCUUCUGGGACCUACACCACACCUCAAGACAAUGCCAGAUCCUUAAUCCACUGAGAGGCCAGGGAUCAGACCUGCAUACUCAUGGUUCCUAGUUGGGUUUAUUACUGCUGAGCCACAACGGGAACUCUGGAUUUGUCUUUUCAUGGUUGAUAAUUCAUGUCCUUGGAUGAGUGAAAUUGCUUAGAACUGGGACUCCUCUACAGGGAGUAGUCGUUAUUCUAGUUUUGACUUUAUAGAACUGUCAGUGAGUAUAGGUUUGCUCUGUUAGGUGUUUAGCUUAAGAGCAGUAGAACACAUGCCUCACCCUCCAUAGAGCCCUGAAUGAAACUGCUGCUUGGGUUUCUAUUGGAUGCAUGGCUGCUUUUCCUGUUUCUUUAAGAAGUAUAGAGGCUUCAUGAGUAAGAAUGCUGCUAAUGACUUAUGCUGCCAUUUUUUUUGGAAUGAUUUUUAUUGUCAAGGAAAUUUAUUUUAAAUUUAUACAAAUUUUACAUUUUUUACUUAAUAGAUUCCUUAUUAAAGUGAUAUUUCUACAUUGUACAGUCUCAAAUUUAUAUUGCAGUUACUAAGCACAUAGAAUUUUCUUUUCUGAUGGCAAAUCUCUCUCUGUGAAACAUAGGCACUUAUCAUAAUGUCCUUUUAAAAAAAAACAUAUAUAUGGCCAUACCCACAGCAUAUGGAAAUUUCUGGGCCAGGGAUGGAAUCCAGGCCACAGCUACAGCAGUGGCAGAACCUUUGCCCCACUGUGCCAGGCCGGGAUCAAACACCUGCCUCCACAGUAACCUGAGUUGCUUUGGUCUGAUUCUUAACCCACUGUGCCACAGCGGGAACUCCAUGAUGUCCAUUUUUGGAAUGCUGUGGAGGUCCCUCAGACAGUCCACUGCUUACCUUCCAGCAUCCCCCACCACCUUGGUUCAACCUGUGACCCAGAAGCUCUCCUGCCUCCAGUCAGGCCACAUUUUAGCCAGAGAGAUUCAAAACCAAAUAUAUCCUUGACACGUCUGUGCUUACAACCUUUCAAUGGCUUCUGGUUGCAAAGACAGAAAUCCUAAAUCAUGAGCUACAAGGGCCUGCCUGAUCUGACCAUCACCUCUCCACCCUGAUUAAGCACCAGUUUUCUGCUCACACUUUGCUCUGGAUAUCCAUCUGUCUUACAAAUAAUAGGCAUUGAAUCGAUUACCUGCCAGGUUCUGUGCUAAGUUCUGAGUGUAGAGAGGCGAAUGGAGUACUCACUCCCUGCCCUGAUGGGUGGGGUAGAGGGAGACCACGUUUUCUGCAGCCCGUAGGAGGGUUCACAGUGCUCACUCUUACUAGCUGAGACAGUGCCAAGUGAGAAAGUUACCAUUGUUUGCAUGUCAAGGGCAGAUGAGGGUUUUACAGGUAAAGCCUUGAGGAUAAAGAGUACUUCUUGUGUUUUCCUGAAGUUAGGAUCUUGGAAUUUCUCCAGCUGGAAUAAAUAGUUUCUGUUGAACAAGUAAGAUUGUAUAAUAUGAUUUACAGCAUUAGCUUAUCAAAGACCCUAUCUCUGGCUUUUCAGAAGGGAGUGGUCAUGGGGUACCUCUCUGAGGAGGGGAACUUAAACUGAGAAGUGGAGGGUGAGAAGAAACCAGCCCUUUGUGACGGUGCCAGCAGAACACACAGAUGUGGGACUCUGGAGCCAAGCCCUUGUGGCUGGAUUGUAUGACCACCCUCCCAUCACUCUGGGGACAUGUCUCUCUUACUCAUCCUUUAGUUCUUAAUUCAAAUGUUACUUCUUGGAAGCCCCUUCUCUGACCUGCUAGAUUGGAUGAGGUUCCUGUUUAAUGUAUUUAUUGUGGUUUGCCGUUGUGUAUUUUGUGGUAUUUGAUUAAAAGUUAUCUCCUUCAUUGGUCUCUGAAUUCCUGAAGGUAAGGAUAAAGUGUCUCUUUGCUUACUUUUGGGGAUGAUGAUGAAGAUAAGUAACAUAUAAAUAUAUAUAGCACUUAACCAUUUAGCUUAACCCUAUUAAAAAAAAUCUAUAGAGUAGGCUCUAUUAUACCUAUUUUACUGAUGAGGAAACUAAGGCACAGAGGGGUUAAAUGUCUUACCUGAAGUAACAAAGCUAUUACAUGAAAUACGUCAGACAGAGAAAAACAAAUAUUGUAUUGGUAUCACUUACAUGUAGACUCUAAAAAACAAAACAAACAAAUGAAUAUAUCAAGAAAGAAGCAGACUUACAGAUAUAGCGAAUAAACUAGUGGUUACCAAAGGGGAGAGAGGGAAGGAGGGAGGGCAAGAUAGGGGAAGGGGAUUAAGAGGUACAAAUUCCUACGUAGAAAAUAAUUACAAGUGUGUAUACUACAAAAUAGGGAAUAUAGCCAAUAUUUUAUAUUAACUGUAAAUUAAAUAUAAUAUUUAAAAAUUAUGAAUCACUAUGCUGUACACCGGAAACUUAUUUAAUAUUGUUCAUCAACUGUACCUCAAUAAAAAUAAAACAAAAUGUAAAACAAAGUAACAUCCCCAAAAGUAAGCAAAGAGACACUUUAUCCUUAAUGGUAAUGGUAGAGACAGAAUUUGAUGUUGACAAUCCAUCCUUUGGAGGCUGGAAGAUCAAUCACUUAGCAUUUUAUUUAUUCAGUCAUGGAGCGGAGUAGAAGGUCCAGUAAUAAGUGGUACAGGUAUCCUGUGGUAAUUUGGUGAUACAGGCAGCAUUUUAAAUCAGUAGCAAAAAAGAUGGGUUAUUCAGAAAAUGAUGUUUGGAUAGUUAUCCAUUUGGAAAAUUGGAUCCUUUUGUCACACCUUAUGCUGAAAUAGAUUUUAGAUGACUAGGGUCUAUAAAG
rnacentral:lncRNA from 1 species